rnacentral:rRNA from 1 species
UGGGGAAUAUUGGACAAUGGGCGAAAGCCUGAUCCAGCCAUGCCGCGUGAGUGAAGAAGGCCCUAGGGUUGUAAAGCUCUUUCAGCGGGGAAGAUAAUGACGGUACCCGCAGAAGAAGCCCCGGCUAACUUCGUGCCAGCAGCCGCGGUAAUACGAAGGGGGCUAGCGUUGUUCGGAUUUACUGGGCGUAAAGCGCGCGUAGGCGGACAUUUAAGUCAGGGGUGAAAUCCCAAGGCUCAACUUUGGAACUGCCUUUGAUACUGGAUGUCUGGAGUUCGGGAGAGGUGAGUGGAAUUCCGAGUGUAGAGGUGAAAUUCGUAGAUAUUCGGAGGAACACCAGAAGCGAAGGCGGCUCACUGGCCCGAUACUGACGCUGAGGCGCGAAAGCGUGGGGAGCAAACAG